rnacentral:rRNA from 1 species
CAGCCGCCGCGGUAAUACGUAGGGUGCGAGCGUUAUUCGGAAUCAUUGGGCGUAAAGGGCGCGCAGGCGGUUUCAUGUGUCGGAUGUGAAAUCCCGGGGCUCAACUCCGGAAAGGCAUUUGAAACUAUGAAACUUGAGUAUGGGAGAGGGAAGUGGAAUUCCUGGUGUAGCGGUGAAAUGCGUAGAUAUCAGGAGGAACACCGGUGGCGAAGGCGACUUCCUGGACCAAUACUGACGCUGAGGCGCGAAGGCGUGGGGAGCAAACAGGAUUAGAUACCCUGGUAGUCCACGCAGUAAACGGUGAUCACUAGGUGUGGUGGGUAUUGACCCCCGCUGUGCCGAAGCUAACGCAUUAAGUGAUCCGCCUGGGAAGUACGGCCGCAAGGUUAAAACUCAAAGGAAUUGACGG